UACGUAGGGGGCAAGCGUUGUCCGGAAUCAUUGGGCGUAAAGCGCGUGUAGGCGGCCCGAUAAGUCCGCUGUGAAAGUCCAGGGCUCAACCCUGGAAUGCCGGUGGAUACUGUCGGGCUCGAGUCCGGAAGAGGCGAGUGGAAUUCCUGGAUGUAGCGGUGAAGUGACGCAGAUAUCAGGAGGAACACCAAUGGCGAAGGCAGCUCGCUGGGACGGUACUGACGCUGAGACGCGAAAGCGUGGGGAGCAAACAGG
rnacentral:rRNA from 1 species